rnacentral:rRNA from 1 species
AUUGCCUUAGUAACGGCGAGUGAAGCGGCAAAAGCUCAGAUUUGAAAUCUGGCGUCAUUUUGGCGUCCGAGUUGUAAUCUGUAGAGGAGUAUUCGAGUGUGGAUUUGGCUUAACUUCCUUGGAACAGGACGUCAUAGAGGGUGAGAACCCCGUUAACGGCCUACGUCUUAUGCUCAUGUGAAUCUCCUUCAACGAGUCGAGUUGUUUGGGAAUGCAGCUCUAAAUGGGUGGUAAAUUCCAUCUAAAGCUAAAUACUGGCAAGAGACCGAUAGCGCACAAGUAGAGUGAUCGAAAGAUGAAAAGAACUCUGAACAGAGAGUUAAAUAGUACGUGAAAUUGUUGAAAGGGAAGCACUUGCUACCAGACACGCCUGUAGUUGAUCAACCUCCAUUCUUGGUGGUGCACUCGGCUAUAUGGUGGGUCAGCAUCAGUUACAACGGUGGGAUAAAGACUUUGGGAAUGUAGCUUCCUUCGGGAAGUGUUAUAGCCCUUGGUGUAAUACCAUCUGAUGUGACUGAGGCCCGCGCUU